CUGCUACAAAUUUCUGAAAUGCAGCUUAAUGUAAAUGGAUCACCUAAUAAACCAAAAGAACAGAUCGCUAAGGGAGUUCAAGGAUAUAUCCAUAGUUCACAACGUCACAUAGACAUAUUCAUUUAAAAAAAACAGGAAAAGCGUUUUGUAAUCAAGUCUACCUCCUACAAAAGAAAGGAAACACUUAAGUUUGUCUGGGAGUAUGAUAUUUUCUUGACAUGUUAUAUUUACAAACACUUGCGGCUCGUUUGGUUCCCCUUGUAAGAAUAUAAUACCUGGAUAGAAGUAGAACUAUAAUACUAAUAUUAGCCCAGAUCUAGUGUUAUUUUAUGUCCGAUAGAAUAUGAAACAAAAAAUAUAUGUAUUAGCAACAUCUGGAAAAAGGAACCUACAAUGGUACAAAUUACCUUUAAAGUAAGCAACUUUUUUUAGUAAAGAACAAAAUGGCAAGAGCUCUUAAUAAUUUAAAACUUACAGUUUCUUUAAACAAAAACCUACACAUGAUACAAAUAUAACACAGCUACUUCUCGGCUGUGGUAUCAAAUCCGCAUAACAAUCUUUGUAUGAUUAUUAAUCAUCCUAUAACAAUCCUUAUACAAUUACUCUAUCAUAAUUCUGAAUAACUAGUCCCUGAACCAAACGAACCUUAAGAGCUAUUGUUCCAAAACUAAAACCACCUAACUAAGUACUGAGUAAUUUAAUGUCCGAAUGAGUUAUGUUCCCCUUUAAGAAAAUAUAGAGUCAAUUUUCCAUGAUAAGCUGAGCGAACAAAAAUAGAAGACCAGAUCGAAAAUUGAGCAGAGGCCUACAACACUUACUUGUGAAGAGGGAAGAUGCUUCUCCUGAAAUGCUGCGUUAGUUAUGAUCACUAUAGGAGUUUGAGAAUUCAACUCUUCAAAGUUGCAGUUUUUAAUUGGUGAAAUUAUUAGAGGGGAAAAAGGAAAGGAGGAAAGCACAGAGAUUGAAAAUAAGAGAAAUGGGGCAACGCGGUUCAAAGAAAAAUGCAAAGGGUUAUGUCCAACUCCAACUCCAAGUCAACGGGGUCCUCUCACCCUCUGCUUCGUUGAAAGCUGAGAGGUGUGGACGCUAU
rnacentral:lncRNA from 1 species